AAAAAAGUCCCAAUUAUUAUCUCUGCCAUUAGAUCUCAAUAUCGUUUCUCCACGGUCCACCUUGCUCUCUCUCUAAAUUUGUGAUUGAGAAGAAGAGGUUAAAACAUGGGUUCUGCACCAAACAGUAUUGAGAUGGAGGAGGGAACCCUGGAGGUUGGAAUGGAAUAUAGAACUGUCUCAGGUGUUGCUGGACCAUUGGUCAUCCUAGACAAAGUGAAGGGACCCAAGUAUCAGGAGAUUGUUAACAUUCGUUUGGGAGAUGGAACUACCCGGCGUGGACAAGUUCUUGAAGUUGAUGGUGAAAAAGCAGUUGUCCAGGUUUUUGAAGGAACAUCUGGAAUUGAUAACAAAUACACAACUGUUCAGUUCACUGGGGAGGUCUUAAAGACACCAGUGUCUUUGGAUAUGCUUGGACGCAUCUUUAAUGGUUCUGGCAAACCAAUUGACAAUGGUCCUCCUAUUUUACCCGAAGCUUACAGGGAUAUUUCAGGAAGUUCUAUCAACCCUAGCGAGAGAACAUAUCCUGAAGAAAUGAUACAAACA
rnacentral:misc_RNA from 1 species